rnacentral:rRNA from 1 species
AUGACGAAACUGCCCCUCCUCCUCCCUCUGCUCUCGCCUCGCGCCGCCUCCCCGUCGCGAGCCCUGACACCGCCACCCGCGCGCCUCCUCGCCGUCGCCGCUGCGGGAGCAAGCGUCCAGGACGCAGUGAUGUCAGCGGCCGCGACCGGGGAUUACCCGUGCCCAGUGUCCCCGCCCUACCCGGCCGUCUCCAAGGACGUGGAGCUACGGCGCGCCUUGACGGCCUCCGCCCGCUCCGGUGCCUACUCCUCCGCCGCCGUCGUGUUCGAGGACGAGUGGCUCGCCGUGGUGGACAAGCCCGCCGGCGUCUACUGCGAGGCCCUCCUCUCCGCCCUCCCUUGCUCCACCGCCUCCUCAGGGGAUCCUUCAAGUAAACCUAACCUUCACCUCGCGAACAGGCUAGAUCGUGAUACCAGUGGUCUCAUGGUCAUCACCAAAUGCAACAAAGUUGCAGCGAAGCUUGUGAAGGCCUUUACUGAGCACAAAGUGAAGAUAACAUAUCUAGCUCUUUGCAUAGGUUACCCACCAGCGUGGGAAAAGAUUAAGAUAUGUUCUGGUCAUGGGCGAUCAAAACACGGCGCUUGGCGUGUGUACGCUAUGUCUGACGUUGGCCGAACACUACCAGGGGGUUCCUCUGUAAGGGACAUGAGCACAAAAUUCGAAGUGCUAGGGACAGAUGGUGAAGGACAGUACAGAGAACCAUCUAAUGUUGACAUUGAUGAUAUAGAGUCGAUUACAGUACAAGAGAAAGCAGCUGACCAAACUUCAAAUGUUGAUGUGAAGAACCACAUGAUUUUUGUUAGAGCCUAUCCUCAAAGUGGACGAACACACCAGAUUCGUCUGCACUGUCAAUAUCUUGGGUUUCCUAUCAGAGGUGAUGUGAAGUACGGAGGAGUGAUCGAGUGGAACGGUGUGGACUGUGAUGGUCAUGCGUUGCAUGCAGAAAGCUUAUCGUUUGUGCAUCCGGUAACUGGAUUGCCUGUCACAUUCCGAGCACCUCUCCCUUCAUGGGCAAGUAAAAUUAUUUCAACAAUGGGAUGA